rnacentral:siRNA from 1 species
GUGGAUGCUAUAGAAACGACUAUG